rnacentral:rRNA from 1 species
UGGAUCCAGACUUUGAUUAUGGCUCAGGAUGAACGCUAGCUACAGGCUUAACACAUGCAAGUCGAGGGGAAACGACAUCGAAAGCUUGCUUUUGAUGGGCGUCGACCGGCGCACGGGUGAGUAACGCGUAUCCAACCUGCCCACCACUUGGGGAUAACCUUGCGAAAGUAAGACUAAUACCCAAUGAUAUCUCUAGAAGACAUCUGAAGGGGAUUAAAGAUUUAUCGGUGAUGGAUGGGGAUGCGUCUGAUUAGCUUGUUGGCGGGGUAACGGCCCACCAAGGCUACGAUCAGUAGGGGUUCUGAGAGGAAGAUCCCCCACAUUGGAACUGAGACACGGUCCAAACUCCUACGGGAGGCAGCAGUGAGGAAUAUUGGUCAAUGGGCGAGAGCCUGAACCAGCCAAGUAGCGUGCAGGAUGACGGCCCUAUGGGUUGUAAACUGCUUUUAUAAGGGAAUAAAGUGGGUCUCGUGAGACUUUUUGCAUGUACCUUAUGAAUAAGGACCGGCUAAUUCCGUGCCAGCAGCCGCGGUAAUACGGAAGGUCCGGGCGUUAUCCGGAUUUAUUGGGUUUAAAGGGAGCGUAGGCCGGAGAUUAAGCGUGCUGUGAAAUGUAGAUGCUCAACAUCUGCACUGCAGCGCGAACUGGUUUCCUUGAGUACGCACAAAGUGGGCGGAAUUCGUGGUGUAGCGGUGAAAUGCUUAGAUAUCACGAAGAACUCCGAUUGCGAAGGCAGCUCACUGGAGCGCAACUGACGCUGAAGCUCGAAAGUGCGGGUAUCGAACAGGAUUAGAUACCCUGGUAGUCCGCACGGUAAACGAUGGAUGCCCGCUGUUGGUCUGAAUAGGUCAGCGGCCAAGCGAAAGCAUUAAGCAUCCCACCUGGGGAGUACGCCGGCAACGGUGCAACUCAAAUGAAUUGACGGA